ensembl:lncRNA LINC02392 long intergenic non-protein coding RNA 2392
AUUCUUCUCCUUCCUGUCACCAUGUGAAAGAUAUGCUUGUUUCCUCUUCUGCCGUGAUUGCUUAUAAACAGAAGGGACUUGCCUUGUCUCAGAUGAGACUUUGGACUUAGACUUUUGGGUAAUGCUGCAAUGAGCUAAGACCUGCGCUGAUGGAAAGACUGAAGUACAGUGACACGAUCUUGGCUCACUGCAACCUCUGCUUCCUGGGUUCGAGCGAUUCUCCGGCCUCAGUCUCCCAAGCAGCUGAAACUACAGAUGCAGAUAAGAAACGUGGGAAGCCACAAGAAAGCCAAGUAGCCUGGGAAAAAGUGGUCAUUGAGCCAUGAGAAAAAAUUAACAUUUGAUCCUGUUGGUGCCACCUGAAGGCAGAGAUGGCUGAGGACCCCCGAGUGUAAGUCCAGAGAGCUCCCCUGCAGCCCCACCCUGACUUUCCAGGAUGAGCCUUCUCUAGGAAGCCACUGCUCAUUCGGAAAGUGAAGAACGCCUGUGUUUCCAACACCAACCCCAGCUCUGCUGACAUCUCAGGAUGGCAGGACCACGCGUGAUGGAAUACCAGGCAGGGGAGACUCAAAUU